rnacentral:misc_RNA from 1 species
GUCAGUUUGGCGGAAAGCAGCAAUCGACAACGGUUUUAUUAAUUCUGCAAAUAAGAGCAAAGUCGGCAACUCUGUUUAUUUUAUCGGUUCUGUAAACAGGAAAAGAAAGUUUAGGAUAGAGGUAGACGUAUAGGUGAGUCUUAUCAGAAGAAGCAUUAAAGUUUUAUUUUCUCUCUGUCCUCAUUCCAAGUCUUUCUGUUGUUUAAAUGUAAACGGUAAGUGGUGUAUAAUAAAAAAAGCAAUAAAAUCUAUAUGUGGAAAAAUAUUUAGACGCGUAUGAUUCAGGAGACGUCACUUUUUAUUCGAUCGAUACAUAAACGGAGUAUGAACGCUCGUGCUAUCGAUUCGUUUUGGAUGACAAAGAAAAUACUAUACUUGUUUUGUUUUUGGUCAUGUGACAAGGCAAAAGUUUUAUUUUAUGCGGCUUGUAGUUGUAAUUUGUAAAAGAGAAAGCCGAAAUCAGUAGACCUUUGUAAUACUUUAAUAUAUAAUUUAUAGUCAAACUAUAGUUCAAUCGAUAGUCUAUGUCUAUUAAGAAAAGAAUGGCUGAGUAAAGAGUAGAAUAAAAGAAAGAGAGGGAAAAAGAGGAGAAUGGGUAAUCAAUUCGAUCCUAUAGAUGGCAUUCUUAUCCUACUGUGAUUAGAUAUUCAACGCUCCUUAUCUUACACGCUAUUAUUCUUACUCCCUAUUCGAACUGGCGUCGACCCUUUUCCAGAUCUGCGACCCUAGAUAAAGGAAUGUGGCAAUCUUAGUUAGGCAACUACUAGCGCCCUUUAGUAUUCAAUAGUGUUAGCAAAGGGCGCGUUGUAAAAAAAAUAGAGACAGGGGGUAAAGAGGGCGAAAAGAAAGAUAUAUUGAUUAUAUCAUUUGCACUCUACUAUACCGCCUUGUUAUUUCCUUUACGGUUAAAUUUCUCGGCCUCUACUCUACUCGAUUGCUUGAAACGACGGCUUUUUUCAUUUGCUAGGAGAUUCAUUUAUCAAAAAAUGAGUGAAACAAUAAGGAAAUAGUAAUUCAUCGUUACAAAAAAUAAGAUUAAUCAAUCCCGCAAGAAUUCUGUUGCUUAUUUCGAGGAAGGCAGGGGGCAGGCCCUCUUAUAGGCCGCCAUUUUUUCUUCUAGAAAGAUGGAGAGAAACAAUUCUAGGUCAUUUUAUCAUUUUUGUUGCAAAUAUUUUAUACCUUUUUUAUCAUCUUUUUUUCCCAUAGUAUUAUUAGUCUCUGCACGAUCACAAAAAAUAAUCUUUUAUUCCCAACCUUAAACAGUUCUCCCCUACACUCCAUCCAUAAAUAUUUGUGCUGCGUUAUGCCGGUUCUGUCAUCGCCCGCUUCCCUUCAGAAUUUCACGGAUGCUAGUGUUCAAAAACUACUCAACUGUCUUCAAGAGUUACAUCUAAAAGCAUCCGGGAAUGAAAUUGAUCUACUUUUCUUAAGCAAUCUACUUCAGGGCGAGGAUUUCCAAGGGUUAAUGAAGAUCCACCAACAGGUUACGGCUCCUCAAUUCUCCGAGCACAAGCCAACGCAUUCCAGCGCGUCCAAAAUGGUUGCAAAUGUGGUGGAGGACCUGCAUGCUAUACCCCCAACUGCAGAGGCCAGAGAAUUAAUGACCCUCCUGUGCAGUUUCAGUUUUCAAGGUCUAUUAGAAGCGCAUGAUGGCAUUGCGGCCAAGGCAUUUUCGCCUGUUUUACCGGAAAUACCACAUAAAGUCGACGAAGAUGAAGUUUCCGUCAAAAUUCUAAAGCUAUUGAAAGCUCCCAAAGAGCCACUCGGUGCUACAAUUAAGAAAAAUGAAAAAACCGGCUGCAUCCACGUGGCUAGAAUAAUGAAAGGGGGAGCAGCCGACAGAAGUGGUGUUAUUAGCGUUGGUGACGAAUUAAGAGAAGUGAAUGAUGUUUGUACGAGGAGUAUGGAUCCUAAUGAAGUUGUCUCUUUACUAACAAACCCAACAGGGCCACUCAUCCUGAAACUCAUCCCUGCUGAUAGUGAUAUUGCAAUACGAGAAACUCAUAUGAGAGUGAAGGCUUGUUUCGAGUUUGAUCCUAAAAAAGAUAGCACAAUACCUUGUAAGGAGGCUGGUUUAGCUUUCAAGCGUAACGAUAUAUUGCAUAUUGUAAGUCAGGAAGAUGGAACUUGGUGGCAAGCUAGACUAGACAGUGAUUCUUCAAAACGAGCCGGUUUAAUACCUAGUAUUAAACGUCUUGAAAGACAAGAAGCAGCUAAAACUUUAGUUAAUACUCCCGAGUGCGAAAGAAAAUUAAGUACAAAAUUUAGCCCAAAAAUUGGAAAGAGAAGGAGAUUUAAAAAGGAUCAAGAAGUUUCCGAUGACGUAAUCAUACCAACUUUUUACGAAGAAGUUGAUAAGUUUACACCAGAAAAAAGCAGAAACAUCUUAUUAGCUGGUCAUGCUUUAUCAGGAAGGGAUGAGAUUCUAUCCCGAUUACAAAUCAAAUUGAAUAAUAGUAAAUACAAAAUUCCAACCAGAUAUUCCACUAAUCUACAACCUAAUUGUUCGAUGCUGCCUAAGGAAGAUAUUGAUCGAUUGCAACAAGAAAAGCUGCUAAUCGACUUUCUGGACAGGAAACAAUACUCAAUCUGCAGUAAACUCGAGGAUGCAAGACAGAUAAUCAAGAAUGGAGAUGCACUAUUAUGCUCCGUCAAUCAACAGGGUUUGAAAUUAUUGAGAACGGCGGAAGUUAAACCUUUUGUUAUAUAUAUAAAACCGCAUAGUACGGACUGUCUUAAAAGCAUGCAUAAAUCAGUUUUACGAAGUCCUGGUGCCAAGAGGUUAAAUGAUGAUGGAAUAGAAGAGGUCAUGGUAGACUCAUCCUUAAUGGAAAAUUCAUAUGGACACUUUUUUGAUAGAACUGUUUUAAAUCGGGAUAUUCAAGCCAGUACUGAUGAAAUUCUAAAUAUAAUUAACCAAGCAAAUACAACGCCUUGCUGGGUGCCUAGCGUAUGGAUGCAAUAGACUGAUAAUUCAUUGCAGUUGCAGCUUUAUCCUUUCAUAUCGAAUAGUAAUUACUGAGAUGCCAAAUAAAUUAUAGAAUCUUGUUUUUCUUAAACAAGUGGUAUUCCUCUAAAAA